GAGUUUGAUCAUGGCUCAGAACGAACGUUAGCGGCGCGCUUAACACAUGCAAGUCGUGCGAGAAAGGGCUUCGGCCCCGGUAAAGCGGCGUCACGGGUGAGUAACACGUAGGUAACCUACCCCAGUGGUGGAUAACUUCUCGAAAGGGAGGGCUAAUACAGCAUGAGACCCACGCCCUCGAGAGAGGAUGAGGUAAAAGUCGGCCUCUUCAUGAAAGCUGGCGCCAGGGGAAGGGCCUGCGGCCCAUCAGCUAGUUGGUAGGGUAAUGGCCUACCAAGGCAAAGACGGGUAGGCUGGUCU
rnacentral:rRNA from 1 species